GAUGAACGCUGGCGGCGUGCCUAAUACAUGCAAGUCGAGCGAACGGACGAGAAGCUUGCUUCUCUGAUGUUAGCGGCGGACGGGUGAGUAACACGUGGAUAACCUACCUAUAAGACUGGGAUAACUUCGGGAAACCGGAGCUAAUACCGGAUGAUAUUUUGAACCGCAUGGUUCAAAAGUGAAAGACGGUCUUGCUGUCACUUAUAGAUGGAUCCGCGCUGCAUUAGCUAGUUGGUAAGGUAACGGCUUACCAAGGCAACGAUGCAUAGCCGACCUGAGAGGGUGAUCGGCCACACUGGAACUGAGACACGGUCCAGACUCCUACGGGAGGCAGCAGUAGGGAAUCUUCCGCAAUGGGCGAAAGCCUGACGGAGCAACGCCGCGUGAGUGAUGAAGGUCUUCGGACCGUAAAACUCUGUUAUUAGGGAAGAACAUAUGUGUAAGUAACUGUGCACAUCUUGGCGGUACCUAAUCAGAAAGCCACGGCUAACUACGUG
rnacentral:rRNA from 1 species